rnacentral:rRNA from 1 species
GUGCCAGCAGCCGCGGUAAUACAGAGGGUGCGAGCGUUAAUCGGAGUUACUGGGCGUAAAGGGCGCGUAGGCGGUAAGAUGAGUGUGAUGUGAAAGCCCUGGGCUUAACCUAGGAAGUGCAUCGCAAACGAUCUAACUGGAGUAUAAGAGAGGGUGGCGGAAUUUCCGGUGUAGCGGUGAAAUGCGUAGAUAUCGGAAGGAACGUCGAUGGCGAAGGCAGCCACCUGGCUUAAUACUGACGCUGAGGCGCGAAAGCGUGGGGAGCGAACAGGAUUAGAAACCCCUGUAGUCC